GCAUGGCCGAAUUCUGUUUUACUCUUUCUGUAGUAAAUACAGUCAGACACCAUGCCAGAUUACUCUGCUCUCUCUUUCCUUUCGUCUCAGUGGUACAUUAGUUAUCACUCAGUUAAAGGGAAAGCAAACAAUC